CAGACGGUCGCGUGCUUUAGCAUGAGGAAAGUCCGGGCUGCACAGGGCAAGGAUAACGGAUAACGUCCGCCGGGGGCGACCCCAGGAAUAGUGCAACAGAGAUAUACCGCCGCUGACAGCGUCCGCGCUGCCAACGGUAAGGGUGGAAAGGCGAGGUAAGAGCUCACCGCGCCCCGUGGCAACACGGGGGGCCUGUAAACUCUAUCCGCAGCAACGCCGACAGGGACCAUGGGCGGCCCGUCCGUCCCGACUGGCGGCUUGAGACGCGCGGCGACGCGCGUCCCAGAUAGAUGACCGUCCAACGACAGAACCCGGCUUACCGCA
rnacentral:RNase_P_RNA from 1 species